rnacentral:rRNA from 1 species
ACAUCUUCUCUUGUUAAUUAUCUGAGGUUUGACCUGCCCAAUGAUUUUUUAAUGGCCGCGGUAUUUUGACCGUGCAAAGGUAGCAUAAUCAUUAGUCUAUUAAUUGUGGGCUUGUAUGAAUGGUUUCACGAGAUAUUAACUGUCUCAUUAAUUACUAAUUUAAUUUAAUUUUUAAGUUAAAAAGCUUAAUUUUUAUUAAAGGACGAGAAGACCCUGUAGAUCUUUAUUAAUUUAUUAUUUAUUUAAUUUAGUUUAUUUAUUUUUAAUUUAUCUAUUUAUUUGGUUGGGGUGACAUUAAGAUAUAUUUAACUCUUAUUUUAUAUUACAUUGAUUUAUGAUUAUUUGACCUUUUAUUAUUGUUUAAAAGAUUAAGAUACCUCAGGGAUAACAGCGUAAUUUUCUUUAAGAGUUCAUAUCGACAAGAUAGAUUGCGACCUCGAUGUUGGAUUAAGAUAUACUUUGGGUGUAGAAUUUCAUUUGUUUAGGUCUGUUCGACCUUUAAUAUCUUACAUGAUCUGA